AAGAAAUUAGUUUAAAGAAAACAUUAACUUGUCAAGUUAAAAUUAUUGUUUAAUAUUUCUUA
rnacentral:tRNA from 1 species